rnacentral:rRNA from 1 species
GAUGAACGCUGGCGGCGUGCCUAAUACAUGCAAGUCGAGCGAACAGACGAGGAGCUUGCUCCUCUGACGUUAGCGGCGGACGGGUGAGUAACACGUGGAUAACCUACCUAUAAGACUGGGAUAACUUCGGGAAACCGGAGCUAAUACCGGAUAAUAUAUUGAACCGCAUGGUUCAAUAGUGAAAGACGGUUUUGCUGUCACUUAUAGAUGGAUCCGCGCCGCAUUAGCUAGUUGGUAAGGUAACGGCUUACCAAGGCAACGAUGCGUAGCCGACCUGAGAGGGUGAUCGGCCACACUGGAACUGAGACACGGUCCAGACUCCUACGGGAGGCAGCAGUAGGGAAUCUUCCGCAAUGGGCGAAAGCUUGACGGAGCAACGCCGCGUGAGUGAUGAAGGUCUUCGGAUUGUAAAACUCUGUUAUUAGGGAAGAACAAAUGUGUAAGUAACUAUGCACGUCUUGACGGUACCUAAUCAGAAAGCCACGGCUAACUACGUG